GAUGCGAGCGUUAUCCGGAUUUAUUGGGUUUAAAGGGAGCGUAGGCCGGAGAUUAAGCGUGUUGUGAAAUGUAGUGGCUCAACCUCUGCACUGCAGCGCGAACUGGUCUUCUUGAGUACGCACAACGUGGGCGGAAUUCGUGGUGUAGCGGUGAAAUGCUUAGAUAUCACGAAGAACUCCGAUUGCGAAGGCAGCUUACCGUAGCAUUACUGACGCUGAUGCUCGAAGGUGCGGGUAUC
rnacentral:rRNA from 1 species